ensembl:lincRNA
CGGCACUUAACAGAAUCAUUAUCUCUCUCUCUCUCUCUCUCUCUCUCUCUCUCUCUCUUCUGUACCAAAUUGGAUAAACGUUAAACUCUGCCUGAAGUUAAAUUGGAUUCCACAAUCAACCAGGAAGAAUCCUUCAAUGAUCACAACGGGUGGGUGAAAAAAAUCCACAACAGUACGAUAGGUUCCAGAUUCGUAACAGUAUUUGCUCUUUAGCGGUGUUUGCUUUGCUUUUGUUUUCUUUUUCAUGCCAACGUCUGAAUUGAAAAAAGUUGUAAUGAUCAAAUCUUGGUUUUGUUACGUUUCUGUUUAUUGUCUAUUUAAUAAGAUGGACAUUAAAUAUGGAAAUAGUGCCUCAAAUGGAAAUUAUAAAUAUGAAUUGUGAUUGCAAAAUAUUGCCCCAAGCACUUGUCUGUGAUUUCUUGCACAAUUAUUAAUAUAUUUUGAAGAAUAACUUUUGUUUUGUAUGAAAAAUACAUGUAUUUUGUAGGAUUGAAAUUUAUAUCGGAGGAAGAAAAUAUUGAUGUGUAUCUGCAAGAAUGGAGGUGGCUGCAAACAAAAAGAGUGGUUGUGCAGUCGUUCAAGAACAGACCCUUCCAUUUCGCUUGCACACAAAGAUUCCAGAUAAUUACACUGGUCUUCCAAACAAGGGACAGUGUUCCAAGGAAGGGUUCACUUCAAACAUGGAGACCUGUAAAAAAGAGAUGGAUCUGCUUCUUUGUGAAGCUGUUGAUACCUUGUUGAAGAAACAACCAUCCGUUCUGUCUCAGCAUUGCCAAGACAUGACGCGCAUUUGUCCUCAUAAUUUCUCGGCCACCCUGUCAAUGUUGGUGGACCGAUCUUGCAGUUUACAAGUUUCAAACGCACAGCUUGUGGCACCUGCAUCUCAUAAUCAAUGUUACUUUGUAACAUUAACUGAGCAGUUACAGGCUCUGAUACUCCUCUUGGACGUGUUGGCUCGUGAUUCAAAGAUGUUGGAGGUACACAAAACCUCUAUUCAUCAGUAUUAUUUGACAUCUGUUAUCAAAUUGCUGGCACAUAUCUUCCGAAAAUACACCCAUCUGCUCCGUACUGCUAACCUAAAAGAAUUGCUCAACUGUUUCCUUCCUGUUGCGGAGAGGAGCAUUGAAGAAAUGGGCAGUCUUGGCUUCGAUAUUUCUCCUUUCAGUGAGAGCUAUAAGGAGGACACGCCACUUGUUCUAACCCUACGUUCCCACAUUGCAUCUCUUCAGCAACACGAGAAAGCAAAUGCUUUAAAGACAAAGAUUGCACCAAAGUGUGACCAGCAACCACUCAAGACAGGAUGUGUAGUCAGCCAUGUUAAACCAAGAAUAAAUGCCAGUGGAAGAAUUGUGAAGACAGGAAUUGUGAGUAAAUCUUCACAAAGAAAAAGGGAAAGCACUUCAAGGCCUGAACUAUUUAGUUGGUCGGUAUGUGCACUGGCUCCAAAAUUGCCCAGACCAGAAGUCCUAAUGAACAGCAACGAUGACCACUGCACGAGCAACAAUGCCGAUGUUGGUGACAAAUGCCUCAUCAGUAAUAAUACUAAUAAUAAUGCUGAGCAGGGUUCAGUCGCGAAGACCACACAGGCAUCCCAGUCUUUGCAGCAUGGGCCUACAUCCGCACAAACAGUUUUAAAGUGUCAACAUCUGCCUGAAAUUCAACAUUCCACAAUGGCUGCCACCAAAAUGUGUCUGGGUUCUAAAAGGCCUCUCGUGGUGCACAAUCCCAACACUCGCGCCAAGGUUGAACCAAGGCAGCAGAAGCAACUCAAGCAGUUGACCUUGAGCAACUGGAAGCUAUCAUAAGUUGCCAAUCCGAUUUUGUUACCAUUCUUUUGGAAUGGAAAGGAAGGUGACACUUUGACUUUCAUAAUAAAUGCUGUUUUCCACAACCUUGCCUUGGACAAAAUGUAUUUUUGAAAAUUUGUUUCACAUCGUAACAGUUUUGUUUGUCACUUUGAACCACAAGUUGCAGCACUUUACAGUGCAUAUGUUGAAAUGCUAUGCAAGCAGAUAUGAAAUGUUAUUUUCAAACUUAUUUAUCUUUUACUUUUGGUUUGUUUUUCAUGUUUUAUUUACAUGUUUAUUGUUCUUUUAAGUGUAAAUCUGCUCUUCAUUCCUGAUAAGUGAUAAAUCACUUUGCUUGUAAACCUCAAUUUUGGGAUUUUCUCUGAUAGUACUUUUGAGCCUCGUUCGUUGAUGCGGUUUUACAAAUCCUUCAUUAUGACCUUUUGGUUCAUCUCCUGAAUUGAGUUGAUUCCUUUUAUGUCUUAAUAGUUGGAUCAUUUCACUCAUGGUUAAUAAAAAUUUGUAUGAUGUUGCUUGUGACUCAUUUUGCUUUUGUGAAACCCCACCACCCUCCAUGUUUUAUAUAUUGUGUACCCUUGAUAUAAAUCCUUCUUUUUUGUAUGUUUUCCAAUUGGCUCUGCUGCUGAUGCAAUUCUCUCUGUAAGGGAUGGCAGGAAUUUGUAAUUUGCUCAUGGUGCCGGUGUUAGCUCGCCUACUCCUAACGAAGGACAUCGUGUGAUCUUUAACAUCCACCAACUACCAUAAUGCCGACAGACGGGACACCAGUUUUAACGUUUAUCCGAAGGAUGGCACACACAUUGAUGAAUCACCCUGCCUGGCUUUUUUACUUACGAAAUCUAAAGAUUUCGUGUAAGUGUAUUGAUGGUUUCCGUCCUCUGUUUGUGUUUGUUUGUAGGCACGAUAACUCGAGAACGGAAGAAGCUACCAAUGUCAAAUUAUACCACGUGAUUCAGGAGGGUGAUGGCUAGCGCUGAUUAGAUUUUGGUCAAAAUCGGUCAAAGGUCAAGGUCACAGUGAGGUCAAACAUCCAAAACAUGAUAACUCCAGAAAAGUUACCACAGGUAUUGUUGACGGAGCGUGAGUUUGGAAGAUCGAGGUAAGUUCAGCGGAAUUUGUGUGUCAAUUUGUCGAGUUAUGGCUGUUUUAAAAAUUUCAGUGUUAUAAAAUAAUAUUAAAUAAUUCCGUAAAUUCCUGUGGAGAAAUGGAGUAUUUUUGCUUCGCUCGACGUUACGAGUUUGUCUUAACUUCGAUUUUAAUUUUGUCUUCGGUUUUUGCGAUCGCUUAGGACGCUUAACACUCGAUUGUCGAAAUUCUGGUAAAAAUCAGAUGUUUUGGAGACGUUUUAAGAUCGUAUAAAAAUAUUUCACCCGCCGCGUCACGGCUCGUCACGUGGUGCAGCACGCUCGAGCAGACGCGUGGUUGAAUCAUGUAAAGGUUUUGCGUGUGCGCGCUGACGUCAUCGCGCUCGCCCCAGUGUCCUUUCAAGUUGGGGGGGGGGGCGUCGAGUGUGACCUUUACAUUACGUUAAUCCGCGGUAACUGGAGAACGGAAGAAGUUGAUGGUUUGGUACAGAAUCAUCGUAGAAACUUCUGGUUUGCGUCGCUACCUUCUCUUGAGACAGCUUUUAUGAGACAAGGUCAGAGGUGAAGUUGACGAUUUCGUAAGUACCAGUCUAUGACUGCUUGUUUGUUUGUUUGUAUGCAGCCUGUGGCUGCUUGGCUGCAUCAUUUUCUGGGGGCAUGGCUGUGCCG